rnacentral:lncRNA from 1 species
CUUGACUUGUUCCACAUGGUCAAGCUUGAGGGGGAGUGUUGAGAUGAGAGAAUAAAGAGUUGAUAUAUUGAGAGAGGAAGAGAGUUGGAGUAGACAGUAACUUUGGAGUUUUACUGUGGUAACUUUAGUUUAACCACAGUAACAACUUGGGAAGUUAUCUGAUGGCAUGAGAAGGUAACUUAGUGAAGGGAAGAGAGUAAACUCGACCAAAGAGGAUAAGGAAGGAUAAGGGAGCACUUUAACAGCCUGUAUGAUGCUGGAAAGGAGAGGAUG